CCAAUAACCAGAAGCCAGUGUGGUUACAUUUCAAAGGAAGAUUUCUCAUUCCCUCUGAUUGUUCAUCUCCCAAAUCACAACAAGCCAAAAAUAUCUGAACAGAAAGUGUUGAAAUACCAGAGAUAUCCAUUUCAACUUUCUCAAUCACAACCAAAAAAACCCAAAAAUAUUAUCUCCUUUUAUAACAUGUACAAGAUGAAAUAAAAGAAAUUAAGCUCCAUUUUUGGGUAUAAUUCUACCCAAAAAAAAAAAAAAACACAAAUAUUCCAAUUUCAUUAACAAAAUUAGAAGUUUCAAAACUUUCUUCAUUAAGCCAACACAAUAACCAAAACCCAUUUCAUCUUUGACUUCAAAGAUUAUUAUUAUUAUUAUUUUUUGUUUCAGCUGGAAUUUUGCAAAAUUCAAGCCCUGGGUCAUUUUGUUUUUAUAUCAGAUCUGUUUAUGUUGAAGCUUCAAUCGGAUCAUUAGUUUAUUUUUAUUGGAUGGUAAUGGAUUUGGAUGAUUUCAGAUCGGUUCUCGAAACAGCAGGUGUUGAUGUGUGGACAUUUAUUGAUACAGCAAUCCUGGCAGCUUCUUUAGAUUAUGGUGAAGAGUUGAAGCAAAGGAGAGAUGGGAUUGUGGAGAGGCUUUAUGCUACUUCCAUGGUUAAUGGAUGUAAAACCUGUGAUUUUGGUGAGAGAUCAAAUGGAUAUUCAGUUAAUAAAGAAGGCAACCUCCAUGAAAGUAAAGGUGGGGAAGGACGAAAAGGGUCUCCUUUUAAACCUCAAUCCGACAAUGAAGAUGAUGAUGUGGACCCUUGUGGAGGCGUGUUUGAUGUUGAACAAAAAAGGGUCCUUGAAAUUAAGGACCUUCUUGAAGUACCUGAUCAGUCUGAAGAUUCUUUGGUCGAUUUGCUUCAAAGCUUGGCGGAUAUGGAUAUAACAUUUCAAGCUCUCAAGGAAACUGAUAUUGGGAGACAUGUGAACAAAUUCAGAAAGCAUUCAUCAAAUGAUGUUAGGAGAUUAGUGAAGCAACUUGUCAGGAAAUGGAAAGAUAUUGUAGAUAAAUGGGUAAUGGUGAAUCAGCCGGGAGAACAUGAACCUGCUGCACUUAUGGAUAGAGAUUCACCACAGCAAAAGCUUCCUCAAAAUGGUGGUCAACAGGUUCCUGAUGAUGUCUACUCUCCAAACCUGCAUAAUGGGAGUCUUGGUUUAAACAAGAAUAAUUCAGAACCUGAAAGGAAGUUAAAGUCAAUCCCUCAUCGAAAAGAUCCUCCAAUUAGACAUACUCACUCAACUCCUCCACAAAAUGUGCAGGACUUUGUAGAGACAGAGAGAAGAAAAGGAAAGCAAAUUUGACUCUGACAGGCUGGCUUCUGCAAGGAAAAGGCUUCAAGAAAGUUAUAAAGAAGCUGAAAAUGCCAAAAGGCAAAGAACAGUACAAGUGAUGGACAUUAAUGAGCUACCAAAACCCAAGAACGGUUUCUUUGCAAAAAACAAAGGAAGUGGCUCUCAAGGGAGGCACUGGUGAUUUGGGUCAUUGAAUUUGGCUUUAAAGGCAUCACAUUUUUGUGUUUUUCUUUCUUCUUCUUCGUGUUUUUCGUUUUCUUUUUGAUCAUUGUAUUAGAAUAGGGGCCACUCUUUAUAACUAUUAUAGGUUACCUUUCUAUGAUAAUGGUGAUUGGGUGAAUAAUUUGGCUUAAA